UAGUCCACGCCGUAAACGAUGAGUGCUAAGUGUUAGAGGGUUUCCGCCCUUUAGUGCUGCAGCAAACGCAUUAAGCACUCCGCCUGGGGAGUACGGUCGCAAGACUGAAACUCAAAGGAAUUGACGGGGGGCCCGCACAAGCGGUGGAGCAUGUGGUUUAAUUCGAAGCAACGCGAAGAACCUUACCAGGUCUUGACAUCCUUCGCUACUUCUAGAGAUAGAAGGUUCCCCUUGGGGGACAAGUGACAGGUGGUGCAUGGUUGUCGUCAGCUCGUGUCGUGAGAUGUUGGGUUAAGUCCCGCAACGAGCGCAACCCUUGAUCUUAGUUGCCAGCAUUCAGUUGGGCACUCUAAGGUGACUGCCGGUGACAAACCGGAGGAAGGUGGGGAUGACGUCAAAUCAUCAUGCCCCUUAUGACCUGGGGCUACACACGUGCUACAAUGGAUGGUACAAAGGGCUGCAAGACCGCGAGGUCAAGCCAAUCCC
rnacentral:rRNA from 1 species